rnacentral:piRNA from 1 species
CAUAUAAUGAUCCAGCGACU